GAUGAACGCUGGCGGCGUGCCUAAUACAUGCAAGUCGAGCGAACAGACGAGAGUGCUUGCACUCUCUGACGUUAGCGGCGGACGGGUGAGUAACACGUGGGUAACCUACCUAUAAGACUGGGAUAACUUCGGGAAACCGGAGCUAAUACCGGAUAAUAUUUAGCUUCGCAUGACGCAAUAGUGAAAGACGGUUCUGCUGUCACUUAUAGAUGGACCCGCGGUGUAUUAGCUAGUUGGUGAGGUAACGGCUCACCAAGGCAACGAUACAUAGCCGACCUGAGAGGGUGAUCGGCCACACUGGGACUGAGACACGGCCCAGACUCCUACGGGAGGCAGCAGUAGGGAAUCUUCCGCAAUGGACGAAAGUCUGACGGAGCAAUGCCGCGUGAGUGAAGAAGGUGUUCGGAUCGUAAAACUCUGUUGUAAGGGAAGAACAAGUACGUUAGUAACUGAACGUACCUUGACGGUACCUUACCAGAAAGCCACGGCUAACUACGUG
rnacentral:rRNA from 1 species